rnacentral:rRNA from 1 species
UUGACAACUCUAGAGAUAGAGUCUUCCCCUUCGGGGGACAAAGUGACAGGUGGUGCAUGGUUGUCGUCAGCUCGUGUCGUGAGAUGUUGGGUUAAGUCCCGCAACGAGCGCAACCCUUAAGCUUAGUUGCCAGCAUUAAGUUGGGCACUCUAAGUUGACUGCCGGUGACAAACCGGAGGAAGGUGGGGAUGACGUCAAAUCAUCAUGCCCCUUAUGAUUUGGGCUACACACGUGCUACAAUGGACAAUACAAAGGGCAGCUAAACCGCGAGGUCAUGCAAAUCCCAUAAAGUUGUUCUCAGUUCGGAUUGUAGUCUGCAACUCGACUACAUGAAGCUGGAAUCGCUAGUAAUCGUAGAUCAGCAUGCUACGGUGAAUACGUUCCCGGGUCUUGUACACACCGCCCGUCACACCACGAGAGUCUGUAACACCCGAAGCCGGUGGAGUAACCAUUUAUGGAGCUAGCCGUCGAAGGUGGGACAAAUGAUUGGGGUGAAGUCGUAACAAGGUAGCCGUAUCGGAAG